UACGAAGGGGGCUAGCGUUGUUCGGAAUUACUGGGCGUAAAGCGCGCGCAGGCGGUUCUUCAAGUCAGUGGUGAAAGCCCGGAGCUCAACUCCGGAAUUGCCAUUGAAACUGUAGAACUUGAGGAUGAGAGAGGUGAGUGGAAUUCCCAGUGUAGAGGUGAAAUUCGUAGAUAUUGGGAAGAACACCGGUGGCGAAGGCGGCUCACUGGCUCAUUUCUGACGCUCAGGCGCGACAGCGUGGGGAUCGAAACAGG
rnacentral:rRNA from 1 species